GGGUGCGAUCAUACCAGCACUAAUGCACCGGAUCCCAUCAGAACUCCGUAGUGAAGCGUGUUUGGACGAGAGUAGUACUAGGAUGGAUGACCUCCCGGGGAGUCCUCGUGUUGCACCCC
rnacentral:rRNA from 2 species